rnacentral:lncRNA from 1 species
CUGGGUCCUUGUCUGGUUGUGGUAUCAGGAUAAUGCUGGUCUCAUAGAAUGAAUUAGGAAGAAUUUUCUCCUCUUUAAUUUUUUGGAAUACUUUGAGAAGAAUUCGUGUUGUUCUUCUUUAUAAGUCUUGUAGGUUUCCACAAGACAGUCAUCUGGUCCUGGGUUUCUCUUUUUUUGGGAGAUUUUUUAUUACUGAUUCAGUUUCAUUAAUCAUUAUUGGUCUGUUCAGGUUUUCCGUUUCUUUUUGUUUCAGUCUUGGUAGGUUGUAUGUCCAGGAAUUUAUCCAUUUCCUCUGUUAUUCAGACCAAAAUCUUGAAGAACGAAUCCUCAGAAAGCCCAUCAACUGCUACUCAAAUGGCGACAAGCCUGCAAGCACAAGGUUUAGUGAGAGUAGAAUUGCUGCUAACAGUGAAUGUGGAGGAUUCUGAUCUCAAAUUGUAGAUGGUUCUGUGAGGCUUUUUGAAGUCUGGCCCAUAUCUAGGCCUUUAAACCUUAGUAAUAGGGCAGGGGAUCAUCUAAAUUUAGGUCUACUUAUUUUCCAUGCGUUCGAACAUUUUGUUGUUGUUGUUGUUAGACCAAACUUGCUUCAAAAUUGACUUGAACUGUAGUGCAGUUCUUGGCAUGUUUUACUAGUAAUAAUAAAAAAAUCACUUAAUGAUCGCUAUGUGCAAGGCAUUGUGCUAAUACAUACACACGUUUUGCAUAUACAUAUGUAUAUUUCACUGACUCUUCAAAACCGUCUUUUUCCUUUUUGCAGUAAGCAACAAAAUUAUUCAUUCAUUUAUCUCACAUUCUUGGGCUGAGUUAUGGACUAGGGCUGCCAAAACACAUGGCCCCUGAGCCGUAAGAACUUAGUUUACUGAGGAUCAGACUUUUAAACAAAUAGUUACCAUGCAGUGUGAUGACUGCAUUAGCAAAAACAUAUCUAAAAUACAGCCUAGAAAAAAGGUAAUUAACUUUUCCAGACAGGAGAGAGGUGUUGUGGUGUCAGGGGAAUUUAAUUUUAAACAGGACAUGGCAUCUGAACACAUUCUUUGUAAGUCCCAUCUUUUCUCCUCAAGCAUGAUCUAGCUACUCUGACCUUCUCCUGGUCUCUUCUGCUCAAACAGCACGUUUUCCUUUAUCUUACAAUUGCACUCUUUAUUCUGCAGACAGUCCUCUCUUGCUUUAUUCACUGAUAGUUUAUUGUUCAUGGCUGCCUCUUUUUAUUUUUACUUUUAAUCACAUUAUUAAUUUUUAUUUUUUGUAGAGUUGGGAGUCUUCUUUUGUUGCCCAGGCUGGUCUGGAACUCCUGGCCUCUAGUGAUCUUCCUGCGUCAGCUUCUUAAAGGGCUGAGAUUACAGGUGUGAGCCACCAUGCCCGGCCUUCUUUUAAGUACAAUUAAAAUUUUUUUUUUCUUUAGAGGUGGGGUCUUGCUAUGUUACUCAGGCUGGUCUUGAGCAGUUCUUCAAAUUAAAAUUUUAAUAACUUUCUUGAGGAAUGAUUCAUAUAUUGUAAGACUAACCUGUUUUAAAUGUAUAAUUCAAUGGUUUUUAAAGUAAAUUUACUGAGUCAAAAACCACCACUUGAAGUAGUGGCAUUAAUCUCAUUUUCUCAGGUGGAGAGUGGGGCUCAGGGAAAUGAGGUUUUGGAUCCGUACACAUCCAGCUAGUCCCUCGCAGAGCUGGAAUUCAAAUGAGUGUAAUGGCUCAUUAAAGCAUACUUAAGUUUGCAAGAGGGAAAUAAGCCCAUGAAGUUUUUGAGUAGAAGGGCGCCUUUAUUACCUUGGAAUCUAAGGACUAGUUAUAUCAUGAAACUAGAAAGUGUCAUUCACAGAGGGUUUAGGUAAAAACACUGGCAAAGAGGACUGAAUUAUGUGUAGUUUGAAAGAUGAGUGAAAAUACUCUAACAGUUGACCCAACAAUCCAUGUGUGUAGCAAAGCCACAAAUUAAAAUGUUUACUUGCAAUGUUAAUAAUGAACCGCUUUGGUUACUUUCAUUCUAAACCAUUAUGCUUAUUAUUUAGCUUUCCAGGGUACUUACAAAUGUUAAUUUCCUGAUAGAGAAUAUUUUCUUAUUCUCACCCCCAAGCAAGCUGUGACAUGGAAUAGUCCAACAGUCAAUUCAUAAGAGCAAGGCUCUCCCUCUCUUUCCCAUCCAAAUUAUGGGGUUUGAAAUGUUCUGACAAUUGAAUUAGUUGACUGGUACAACAGUAGCGAAUGCUUUGUAAUUUGUGUUGCCUUCAGAGAUGGCAAAAAUUAGGCUGCUGCUAAUAGACCAGAACUGUCUGGACUCUGACAAGCUUCCCUCCUGCCUUCAGCAGAAGGGAGGACAGCGGCUCCUGCUAUUCAACUCUGAAUUAUGUUUUACAUGCCACAGUUCUGAUUUUUUUUUUUUUUUGAGACAGAGUCUCGCUCUGUCACCCAGGCCGGAGUGCAGUGGCAUGAUCUCGGCUCACUGCGAUCUCCGCCUCCCAGGUUCAAGCGAUUCUCCUGCCUCAGCCUCCUGAGUAGCUGGGAUUAUAGGUGCGCACCACCAAGCGCAGCUAAUUUUUAUAUUUUUAGUAGAGACAGGGUUUCACCACGUUGGUCAGGCUGGUCUUGAACUCCUGACCUCGUGAUCUACCCGCCUCAGCCUCCCAAAGUGCUGGGAUUACAGGUGUGAGCCACUGCGCCCGGCCCGCAGUUCUGAUUUUUGAAUAUCAAUGCUGGGAAAAUGACAGCAGUGCUCGAGAUAGUUGCUGACAGGGUAAAGCUACCUAUUCCCUUUGCUAAAAGGAAGGCUCAAACGCAGCCUGUGCAGAGGGCUCUGCUGGGUUAGUAUGCUGGGCUCCUCUCUUUAUGCGUUCAUCAUUCCAGUAAUGGAGUUGAAUGUGCAGAAGGCCUUCCCCGCCCCUGUUUUUGGGCUAAGAAGCCACAGGAAUAGUCUCAAUUCAAUACUGGGACACUCAGGCAGGGAUAACUAGAUUGUGUUAUACCUUACAGGUCAAUAUCAAAGGAAAUGUAUUUCAGAUGAUUCUAAGUUCAGUAUUUUAUUUCAUAUUCAGCAAACUAAGGCUAGGUCAGAGUCAGUUUUCAGGAAGUAACCUAACACCCCUCCUUUGCCCUAAAAUGGGAGUUCACAAACUUUUUCUGUGAAGAGGCAGAUAGGAAAUAUAGGCUUUGUGGGCCAUAGGGUCUCUUAUUGCAAUGACUUAACUCUGCCUUAAAAUGUGAAAGCAACCAUAGACAACACAUGAAAUGAAUGAAUGUGGUUGUGUUCCAAUAAAACUUUACUUAUGGAUGCUGAAAUCUGGAUUUCAUAUCAUUUUCACAUGUCAUAAAAUACUAUUAUUCUGAUUUUUUUUCAAUCAUUUAAACAUGUAAAAACCAUCCUUAGCUUGUGGAUAAUACGAAAACAGGUCAUGGGCUGGAUUUGGCCGGUGGAUUGUAAUUUGCCACCCUUUGCCCUAAAGCAUUAGAGAUUCCUCUAAUGUAUUCCAGGUAUGCGUGCAAUUGUUUUCCAGUAUGUGAGCCAUCCUUUUCUGCCAAAGUCCGUCUACCUAUUCAGGAGGUAAUGCAGAGUGACAUGGAUAGAAAACCAGAAACCCAACUGAAACCAGGACAUUUCAGUCUUCCGCCUUCAUCACUUGCUGCCUCCUCUCUCUCUCCCUCACACACCUCUACUUGAUGCUCAUGGCACCCUUUCUUGAUGACAUGGGAUCUCAUUUCUAUUCUUUGGGAUCCUGGUAAGUUGCAUUAAUCAGAAAUGUAGAAUUUUGCAUUAAAAUUAAAAUAAAGCAAUUAGCAUUCAGCAGAAUGUUACAGAAGUAGUAAGGGCAAGGAUAUUGUUUCCUUUACAGAAGUGGGUUUGGAAAGAUCUAUUUGUUUUCUUUAUUCAUUUUCAGAUAAUUUCUCAUUACUGGUUAUAAAAUGAAAUUAGUUGAGUAUUACAAGCUGUGUGCUCUAAUACAAAUUUAUUGAAGUUCUAUUUGAAUGGAUUUUUUUAGUGCUUAUGUAGUGAAUAGUGGUUAUUUGGGAUGCAGAGGUCUCUCUGAACUAUGGACAGGUGCAAGAACUGUUCAGGCACACCACAGUUAUUGGUUGGUUGCAUGAAUAGUCUGUGAGAUGAGACCCAAGAUCAGGUUAGAGUUCACCUAUGCUCAGAAAUUUGGUGCUCAAAUAAUGGUGUAAUGGAGGCAGCAUUGCACUAUGACCUCUAAACUGACGCAUACAGGCUUGUGACUUAUUUUUCACAUCUGUGAAAUAGAGAUGAUUGACAUGCACUUGAUUUGUCAGAAUCAAGUGAGACAGUUUAUGUUUGCCAAGUCUGAGUGUAGUCUCUCGUUCAUGGUUCACAAACUGGGCUGGUUAUUAGAAUCAGUUGUGGAAGUGAGUGGGGCUUUCAGGAAAUACAAAUUCCCAGGCUCACCCCAGACUUACAGAAUCAGCAUUUCUAUGAUAGGACCUAGAAGUCUAAAUUUUUUAGACUUUGGGAAGCUCUGAUAUGUUCCAUAAACCUCAGCAAUGGAUUUAAGUAAACCAAAUACUUCCCUCAACCCAAGCUUGGACUUUUUCACUAAAAUUUCAUACCAUUUGUCUUCAUGAACAAUAAAGGUAUAGGAAGAAAGAGGGUCAGGAAGGGUACAAAGUAUCUUCCCUUUAUCUUCUUGGGGACGUCUGUUUCAGCAAGUAGAAGCAGAGCAAGAGCUGGUGUUUCAUUGUCCAACCUGGUGAAUGAACUCCAAUUGCGUUUUUUACCCCUUCAGCUCUCCCUCUGCAGCCCUGAGAUUUAUGGUGUUGUUUUCACCUUCUUCUGUGCAUUGAAGCAUAUUUGUGAAGGAAAGUCUAGAUUGUGCACAUCAUAAAUGUACAACAGAUUGACAAUAUCCUUUCCAGUUUUGCUACUCAAAACUCAUCAUUGAAAAUGUCUUUUUGAGUUAUUUCUGGAAAUAACACAAUUGUAGUGUUGGCACAUAUAGAUCACAAACACAAAAAGAAUCUCGGUAGUUCUAAAAAGAUAAACUAAUUCUGAAUUUCUCACAUUUUCUGCAUUGCUGCUAAUUUACAUGUGAGUAAUUGUAGAUUUCAAAUGAAUGAAAGCAUCCACCUCCACACUGGAAGCCCAGAUUGUUUACCGCAGUAGAAUUCAGUAGUAUGUACAUACACACAAAUGCUCUCAUAUAGUACUCUGCAACUUCCUGAUGUUUGAGAGCCACAACAAAGUAUUCUUCUGUUUACAAAACUUCUACCACAAAUAUUAAGUAUUUACUAUUUUCCAGGUACCUUGUUAGCAAUUUAAAUAAGGCAUAGUUCCACAGUCCUUAUCUUGGAAGUUCACAGGCUAGAAGGAAGAUGAUCAUGAAAUAAAUCACUGUAGAAAAAAUAAGCUUUAAUAUUAAUCCUUUUUAAAAUCAAAUCAUCUUUCAAACUGUAUUCGUUAUAAAAGUAGAGAAUUUUUCCCAUGGAAAAAAUACGAGAUCAAUGUAUUCACUCUGAUCCUUUAUACUAUAUCCCUGUUUUUAUUAAUUUUAAGGAGCUAAUCCUUUGAAAGUAAGUAGAUGCCUAACAAAUAUGUGAGGGACUAACAGGAGAGUAUCUUGUACAUGUAAUAAUGCAGUUGGAUGUGUUCAUACCUGUUGUGCAGCAUCCAUUUCAAGCUUCAGCUAUCUCUGGAAGAUGACUUUGUUUUUUUUUUUUUGAAAUGGAGUCUCGCUGUGUCACCCAGACUGGAGUGCAGUGGCAUGAUCUCCACUCACUGUAGCCUCCGCUUCCCGGGUUCAAGCAGUUCUCCAGCCUCAGCCUCCCAAAUAGCUGGGACUACAGGCACACACCACCACACCUGGCUAAUUUUUUUGUAUUUUUAGUAGAGACGGGGUUUCACUAUGUUGGCUAGGCUGGGCUUGAACUCCUGAACUCAAGUGAUCCUCCCACCUCGUCCUCCCAAAGUGCUGGGAUUGCAGGCGUGAGCUACCACGCCCAGCCUGGAAGAUGUCUUUGGAUACUGGGUCUCUACUCUGUGUCUCCAAGUCUCCAGAGAUAAUUUUCAGCAAAUUCCUGAAUACCACCACUUUCCUACUCUCUAAUGUUUCUUAAACUCAAUAUAUGAAAAAUAGAACUUAUUCUUACUCUCAAACCUGAUCUUUUCUUUUAGGUUUCUUAUAUCAGGGAGCCCUGUUGCCAUUUUUCCAGAUGCAGAGGCUUCAAACUUUGACAUCAUCUCUGACUCUUCCUCCCUCUUGACCCUAAUCAGGAGCCAGAUGCUAUUGGGCCUUUGUCUCCCUUCCUGUCCACUGGAGCUAAUUUGGUUUGGCGCUGUGUUCCCACACAAAUCUCAUCUCGAAUUGUAAUCCCCAGUGGUUUUCCCCAUGAUGUUCUUGUGAUAGUGAGUUCUCACAAGAACAGAUGGUUUAAAAGUGUUUGGCAGUUCCCCACCUCUCUCCUGCUGCCAUGUAAGACGUGCCUUGUUUCCUCUUUGCCUUCCACCAUGAUUCUAAGUUUCCUGAGGCCUUCCCAGCCGUGCAGAACUGAGUCAAUUAAACCUCUUUUGUUUAUAAAUUACCCAGUCUCAGGUAGUAUCUUUAUAGCAGUGUGAAAAUGGACGAAUACAGGCACCUUCCUGCUAUUAGAUCUUUGUUUCUCAAACUAGCAUCCAAGGACUCUUAAAAGGCUCCAUGCAAUAUUCUUGGGGAUUUGAGUGUUCCUCAUCUUAGGUUUUACAUGUCCGGGAUAAUCUAACAAUUUUUGUUUUUUUGAGACGGAAUCUCGCUCUAUUGCCCGGGCUGGAGUGCAGUGGCGCAAUCUCAGAUUACUGCAACCUCCACCUCCCAGGUUCAAGCGAUUCUUGUGCCUCAGCCUCCUAAGUAGCUGGGCAUAUGCCACCAUGACUGGCUGAUUUUUUUUGUAUUUUUAGUAGAGACGUGGUUUCACCAUGUUGUCCAGGCUGGCCUUGAACUCCUGACCUCAGGUGAUCUGCCUGCCUCACCCUCCAAAAGUGCUGGGAUUACAGUGUGAGUCACCACACCUGACCCACAAAAUUAACAAGUAUGUGUUUGGGGUCAUCAAAAUUUAUAAUUGAUGAGUGAUUCUGCUGCAGACUUGAACAUUCACAUUUGUGUUGUGUUUGUGUGUUGGCUCUAAGUUGGGCAACUCCUCCUCUGGGCUCUCUUUGUGCCAUGCUUUGUUCUUGUUACAAUUGUGUGAGUCCAACUUUCCUAGUGAACUGUGAGUUCAGAAGACAGGGACCUUGUCUGGUGUAUUUCUGUGUCCCCAGAACCUAGCAUUGGGCCUGGCACAUAGUAGGUACUUAAGCUUGUAGCUGUUGUGCAUAUCAUGUUUUGGAGUCUGCUUUUGCUCCCAUACACAUUCCCAUGCAUGGCUGUAGUUAAUUUAAUGUUUAUGUAGUAUUUAGUCAUGUUGAUAGAUGACAUUUGGCUUAACCAUCCUUUAUUUUUAGAUGUUUGGAUUAUUUUCAUUUGUUGGCUAUUUUAAGUAGCAUAGUUAAAAACAUCUUUGAGAAAAAUUAUUUUCUCUCAUCUAGAUUGUUUUCUUGGGAAUUCCUUAAUGAAAUCACUAGAUCAGCCAGGGGCUGGGGCUCAUGCUUGUAAUCCUGCACUUUGGGAGGCCAAGGUGGGCAGAUUACUUGAGCACAGGAGUUCAAAACCAGCCUCGGCAAAAUAGUGAGACCUUGUCUUUACAAAAAAAUUUAAAAGUUAGCUAGGUAUGGUGGCUUGUGUGCCUGUAGUCCCAGCUACACAGGAGGCUGAGGUAGGAGAAUGGCUUGAACCCACGAGGUUGAGGCUGCAGUGAGUCACUGCACUCCAGCCUGGGCAACAGAGCAAGACCCUGUCUCAAAACAAGAAAUUACUAGGUCAAGCAGUUUUAUUCCUCUUGUAAUAUGAUUGUAGGAUUUAGUGUUUAUGAAGAGAUCAGACUGAGUCAUAAUGGAUAAACUCUUUUUAGAUAUGUUUCUUUCAUUGGAAUCAAAGUUGAAAGAAAAAAUGAAGAUGCUUCUCCUUCUGCCACCUCACCAACGUUGCUCACCUGGGCCAUUUCCCUUCCUCUGGUUUUUCCAUCUGCAGCCACAACUUCAGUGAUGGAGGAAGUACAUGUUAGGUCAGCCAGAACCACGUUUCCGACAUGCAGAUCUAAUCAUGUUGUCGGUCAAGACACAGCGGUGGCCUUCCAUUGCCCACAAGAUCAAGUCCAGCCACACUGUCAGGGCCGACAGAGUCCUUCAGGGUGUGGCCUCUGUCUCCCUUUCUAGGCUUCUCUUUGGCUGCUGCCCAGAUGCACUCCCUGCCCACCCAGCAGGCACUAUUUUCAGUUAGGAAUGUACAUGCUGUUCCCUCCAUCUGAAAGGGACUCCUCAACUCCUUCCUUCUGGUAUCACCUCACUCACCCUUCAAGGCUCAGCUUCAAGUCCCAAGUACUGCCCUCCUCCCAGCCCUAAUAAGGUAAUAACCUGCCCCACCCCAUUCUCUCAGAAUUUUUCCAUCCUUCGUUAAAGACUUUGUCACCCAUAUUGAAGCUCUUUGUUAGUUUUUUUCAUCUUUUUAUUUAGAUUAUGAGCUCAUUAAGGACAGGAUUUUUUUUUUUUUUUUUUUUUUUUUUCUUGAGACAGAGUCUCACUCUGUUGCCUGGGCUAGAGUGCCAUGGUGCGAUCUCAGCUCACUGCAACCUCUGCCUCCCGGGUUCAU